AGAUCCAAGCUUAGGUGAGAACACCCGCUGAGUUUAAGCAUAUAAUUAAGCAGAGGAAAAUAAACUUACAAGGAUUCCCCUAGUAACAAUGAGCGAACUGGGAAGAACCCAACAUGAAAAUUGGGUGGAAGCACUGCUUGAAUUGUAGUUUGUAGAAGUGUCCUUAGUGGUGGACCAGGCCCAAUUCCCUUGGAAUGGGGCACCUGAGAGGGUGACAGCCCCGUCGGGCCAGGACCCUGCCGCACCAUUGUUGUGGGUGGGAAAUCCCUCCUACGGACUAGCAUUGAGGGUUUUAUCAUGCAUGCAGAAAUGACCUAAAGAUUCUUACUUUUUACCAUCAUCCCAUGCCUAGACCCCCAUUACUCAUAUGUAAAUACAAGGCUCAAGAGAUUAAGUUGACGUACCUUAUUCUUCGUGUUUGAUUUCGAUCCCUUUUCGCGCUUGGUCGUUCUUUGACUAAAACUCUCCUCCCAAUGCUGACCUGCAUUCACUAAAGACAAACAAAGAACUCCACAUGCAUUUGAUAUAUGAAAUAAUGGGUUAGAGAGUUAAUCAAUCAUACAAUCAAUGUUCCAAUAAUGAUAAUCUCAUAUGGUGGGACGGGAAAAUCAAUUCUUUUAUUAACUUCACAAUGAUACCUUACAAUGAUAAAGUCAACUACUGCUCCUCUAUCCUAGUCCUGGGCUCUUCUUCCACUGUCUUCCAACUUCUUUUCUCCAUACUUCUGUUUGCACAAAUAUGGCUAAAGGUUGGGACAAAGGGAAUGCUCAAUCGGGUAUAGUUUCUUUACUAUGAUUAUCCUCCUUUCAAAUGGGACCCCUACCCCUUCUUUUAUAGGCUAGAAGGAGCUAGGUAUUUGGUCGAAUGACCGUCCAUGGAUGGCUAAAAGGUUUAGUUAACUUGCCCAAAGCUAUAUAUUCCAUCAAAAACUUUCCCUUUUUCGUGUUCCUAAAGGUCCACGCGGGCUGUAGUGGGUUAGCUAGCAUGGACAUUGUAGAUACACGCGGGUUGUAGUGGAGAAUUGUGCGUGUGCCUUUAAAAAUGGAGUUUUUUAGAAGAGAUGUUCAGUAGAGUCUUGGAAAAGAAGGAAUAUGAGAUGGCCUGAUGCCAGGUAAGCAUGUUUGGUGAAAAUUAGGGUUAUAAAAACCAUGAGGCAUUGUCGGUGAGUCAGGUUGUUUGGGAAUGCAACCCUAAUCGGGUGGUAAAUUUCAUGCAAGGCUAAAUACGAGCGAGAGACAGAUAGAUAAAAAGUACUGCGAGGGAAAUAUGAAAAGGACUUUGAAAAGAGAGUUAAAGAGUGCUUGAAAUUGCUAGGAGGGAAGUAGAUGGAGGAAGGCGAUGCAUCUAGGUAGGAUGUGGAAUGAUUCAAGAUGGUCCAUUUCUCAACUCGAGGUGUGAACCAACACAGACCAUUUCAUCGGCACAAGCAUGGGUGGAGUACUACCUAUUGGUUUUCUGUUGUGGUGGUCGAGGAAUGAAGUGUGCACACCUUGGGGCGGGCCACUGUGCACUUGUACGCUCGUGGUGUUGGUUGGCAGGCUUUCCAUUCAACCUGUCUUGAAACAUAGACCAAGGAGUCUAACAUUUGUUUAAGUUGGUGGGUUUGUAAACCAGCGAGGCAUAAGGAAGCUGAUGGGCAAGAUAACCUCUCCAUGGGGUGCAUUUCUGACCAACCGUGAGCUUGUGAGAAGGGUUCGAGUGCGAGCACACCUGUUUGGACCCGAAAGAUGGUGAACUAUGCCUGAGCAGGGCGAAGCUAGAGGAAACUCUGGUGUAGGCCCGUAGUGAUACUGACAUGAAAAUCGUUCAUCUGACUUGGGUAUAGGGGAGAAAGACUAAUCAAACCAUCUAGUAGCUGGUUUCCUCUGAAUUUUCCCUCAGGAUAGUUGGAGCUCACGUGUGAGUUUUAUCAGGUAAAUAAAAUGUUUAGAGGCAUUGGGGGCGUAAUUCCCUCGACCUAUUCGCCAACUUUAAAUAGGUAAGAUGGUGUGGUUUCUCCACUAAGCUGUGCCACAGAAUCGAGAGCUCCAAGUGGGGCAUUUUUGGUAAGCCUAAAUGGUGAUGCGGGAUGAACCGAAAUUCGAGUUACAAUGCCAAACUGCGUGCGAAACUAGAUCCCAUAAAGGGUGUUGGUUGAUUAAGAUAGCAGGAUGAUGGUCAUGGAAGUUGAAAUCCGCUAAGGAGUGUGUAACAACUCACCUGCUAAAUCAACUAGCCUUGAAAAUGGAUGGCGCUAAAGUGCACGACCUAUACUCGACCGUCGAAGCAAUUUCCAGGCUUCGAUGAGUAGGAGGACGCGAGGGUCAUUAAGAAACCUUAGGCGUGAGCUGGGGUGGACCGUUCCUCGGUACAGAUCUUGGUGGUAGUAGAAAAUAUUCAAAUGAGAACUUUGAAGACUGAAGUGGGGAAAGGUUCCAUGUGAAAAACACUUGGACAUGGGUUAGUCAAUCCUAAGAGAUGGAGAAGCCCUGUAUCAAGGAUCCACUUUGCAUGAACAUCAAAAGGGAAUUGGGUUAAUAUUACCGAACCAAGACAUGGUGGCGGAACACAAUGUUAGGAAAUCCAGAGACGUCAUCGGGGCCCCCGAGAAGAGUUAUCUUUUCUUUUUAACAUCUUGCCCACCCUGAAAUCAGAUCAACCGGAAAUAGGGUCCAGUACCCGGAAGAGCAUCGCACAUAUUUCGGUGUCUAGUGUGCCCUUAACAACCCUUGAAAAUUUGGAGGACCAAGUACCAUCCAUGCCUGGUCGUACUCAUAACCACAUUAGGUCUCUAAGGUGAACAACCUCUAGUCAAUAGAACAAUGUAGGUAAGGGAAGUUGGAAAAAUGGAUCCAUAACUUCGGGAAAAGGAUUGGCUCUGAGGGCUAGGCCUAGGGGUCUGCAUCCUCAACCCAUGGGCUGUUGGCAGUCUGCCCGAGCGACUAUCACGGUGAGGGUGGGCAGUCGUGUGCCGAUUGGGCUACGAACGUAGAAUGUACGCUCGCGGGGGAUUUUCCCUAGGUGGCGAAUAGUCGAGUCAGAACUGGUACGGACAAGGGGAAUCUGACUAUUUUAUUAAAACAAAGCAUUGCGAUGGUCCCUGUGGAUGCUGGUGCAAUGUGAUUUCUGCCUAGUGCUCUGAAUGUCAAAGUGAAGAAAUUCAACGAAGCGCGGGUAAACGACGAGAGUAACUAUGAAUCUCUUAAGUUAUCGAAAUGACUCGUCAUCUAAUUAGUGACAUGCAUGAAUGGAUUAAUGAGAUUCCCACUUUCCCUAUCUACUAUCUAGAAAAACCACAGCCAAGGGAAUGAUCUUGGAAGAAUCAGUGGGGAAAGAAGACCCUGUUGAGCUUGAAUCUAGUCUGACUUUUUGAAAUGACUUGAGAGGUGUAGAAUAAGUGGGAGCCAUUUUCAGUGCAAGUGAAAUACCACUAAUUUUAAUGUUAUUUUACUUAUUAUGUGGGGUAGAGAUUUUUAUCGGACUAAUCGGUAGGUCCGGACACUAACAGAUCUCCCUAGAUCCACCUGGAUCUAGAACAAAAUAUGACAGGACAUGACUCUUUCCCUAAGUUUUGACCAUUGAAUUAGCUAAUAGGGAGGAACAAGUAAGAUACCUUUGUAUCACUUCCUAGGGUCUUUGUUUCUCCCGCUUUGCUCCGGUGCUCUCGUGAGGUCAAGACCAAGACACCACAAAUCAACCAAAGUGAAGAUAGCAAAAUAUAUUCAACUGUCAACUUAUGUGCAUGAUCAAGGAAUUACACAAUAAAGUGAGAAUGACUUUAUGGGAAAAGGACAUGCCACUGUAUCAUAUUAAUUGAAAGUAGAAGAUUACAACUUGAUCGCCUUGAUGUCGCAAGCUUCCUUUCGGUGGCUCUUGGCUCCAACACACACACUUUCUCAAUCCUUGUAUGAAGAAUAUCAAAUCCUCUUGAUAGACUUGCUAGAGUCUCCAAGCUCCUGUUCAAGCUAAGUCCUUCACACAAUUAUUUCACCAAUUCUCCAAUGAAUCUUGCUUAACCUUUUCCAUGAGAAUUCCAUCAAUAUAUAGGAGAGAAUGAGAUGGUUACUUAGAUAAGAAUGAUCCCACAAUAUCAGGGAAACCAGUAAAAGGAUAACCAUUCGAAUGCCAACCCAUUCUUCUAGAAGAUUCCCUUCUAGAACCAUCAAGACUUCAUCUUUUUCCAAGCUUUAGAACAAGUUCGCACCGUAGCUAUGUAGCACAGUGCGAGAAGUUCGCACCCUAGCUUAAGGCAUCUUGCGAGAAUGGGUCAUUCUCGCACCCUAGGACACUAGAAACCUGCGAACUCUCUUCAAAAGUGAGUUUUCUGGGAAGAGAUGAAUGACACUUUUCUCAGGAGAAAGUUCUUAUGAGGAGCCUGAGUACACCAUCAUCAAUACACAAUCAAGAUUGACCAAAAUCAUGGGUAACAGAGAUGGGGCAUCGCCCCUAUUUUUUUCCUUAAGACACGUUUCGAUGGGUCGAUCGGGGCGGAAGACAUUGUCAGGUGGGGAGUUUGGCUGGGGUGACACAUCUGUUAAAAGAUAACACAGGUGUCCUAAUAUGAGCUCAAUGAGAACAUAAAUCUCGUGUGGAACAAAAGGGUAAAAUCUCAUUUGAUUUUGAUUUUCAGUAUGAAUACAAAUUGUGGAAGCGUGGCCUAUCGAUCCUUUAGACUUUCGAAAUUUGAAGCUAGAGGUGUCAAAAAAUUUACGACAGGGAUAAUUGGCUUGUGGAAGCCAAGUGUUCAUAGCAACGUUGCUUUUUGAUCCUUCGAUGUCGGCUCUUCCUAUCAUUGUGAAUCAUAAUUCACCAAGUGUAGGAUUUUUCACCCACCAAUAGGGAAUGUGAGAUGGGUGUAGACCAUCAUGAGACAUGUUAGUUUUACCCUACUAAUGAACCAAACCGCAAUAGUAAUUCGACUUAGUAUGAGAGGAACCAUUGAUUCAUACAAUUGGUCAUCGCACUUGGUUGAAAAGACAGUGGCGCGAAGCUACCGUGUGUCGGAUUAUGACUGAACGCCUCUAAGUCAGAAUCCAUGCUAGAAGCGAUGCUUGUCACCCAUCGACUGUAUCUUGAACCAUAGUAGGGGUGUCUCUUCAGCACCCCGAAGGGCCCAUGUCACUUGCGAACCUUAGCCGGGAAGUGUCUUGAUCGGGGUAUCUUUGAAGUUCAAUUUCAAACGGUCGUUGAGAAGAAUCCUUUGCAGAUGACUUAAAUACAUGACGAGUUAUUGUAAGUGGUAGAGUGGCCUUGCUUCCAUGAUCCACUGAGAUUCAACCCUUCGUUACCUCGAUUCAA
rnacentral:rRNA from 1 species